rnacentral:rRNA from 1 species
AGGAUACUCUUAUAAGACGAGAAGACCCCAUGGAGCUUUAAACCCAAUUAUAUCUCUAACCACUAUAACCAUUUAAUCACUUAGAACUUAUAUACUUGGUUUUAGGUUGGGGCGACCACGGAGCACAACCAAACCUCCACGAUGAACGGAACAACCCCCUUAUCUGAGAAUUACACUUCUAAGAAUUAGCACACUAACAUAAAAUGACCCAUUAUUGAUCAACGAACCAAGUUACCCUGGGGAUAACAGCGCAAUCCAUUUUAAGAGCCCCUAUCGACAAAUGGGUUUACGACCUCGAUGUUGGAUCAGGAUAUCCCAGUGGUGCAGCAGCUGCUAAAGGUUCGUUUGUUCAACGAUUAAAAUCCU